rnacentral:ncRNA from 1 species
GAAAGUACUUGGCUUUGAUUCAGUUCUAUGGCUGAGAUAAGAUAAAAUACAUGAUAUUUUUAGAGGGUGGUGAGUUAUAAUUUUUGAAUGAUUUCUAUAAAAAAUAAAAAAUAUUUAAAGUUAUGAAGUAUUAUAAGUUUUAUGAUGCUUAAAAUAAUUUCACUAACAUCAGUAAUGGAUUUUGUAAAAAAACGAAAGUUUGUUUCAGAUUAGUUUUUAGGCCUGGUAAAUUUAGUGCCAGCAUCCGCGGUUAGACUAAAGGGUCAAGUUAUAGUUGUAAGGCAUAAAAGGUGGUUAGAUGAAGUAUUAGAUAUAUAAUAAAGAUAGUAAGGUAAAAUUUAUUUAUUUUUAGAUUAUUAAUUAUUCUUUUGGUUGAAUCCACGUAAAUCUUAUAAGAAACCAGGAUUAGAUACCCUGUUAUUCUUGAUUGUAAAUUGAUUAAUUCUGCCAGAGUAGUAUAAGAUUUUCUUUAAACUCAAAAGGCUUGGCGGUGCUCUAGACUGCUUAGGGGAACCUGUCUCGUAAUCGAUGAUCCACGUUAAACCUAACUUUAUUUUGUGUUCAAUAUGUAUACCGUUGUCGUCAGUCAAUUUUUAAAAAUUUGGCAGAAGAAUUUUUAGAUUUAUACGUCAAAUCAAGGUGCAGUCUAUAAUAAAGUGAGGAUGGGUUACAAUUAAAAUUUAUAAUACGGAUGAUUUUUAUGAAAGUAGGGUUUUAAGGAGGACUUAAAAGUAAAGUUGUAGUAGAAAAAUAAUUUGAAUUUGCUCUGGAGUGUGCACAUAUCGCCCGUCGCUCUCGCUGAUAAAGUGAGAUAAGUCGUAACAUAGUAGAGGUAAUGGAAAUUGUCUCUAGUACAAU